rnacentral:rRNA from 1 species
UACGUAGGGUGCAAGCGUUAAUCGGAAUUACUGGGCGUAAAGCGUGCGCAGGCGGUUAUGUAAGACAGGUGUGAAAUCCCCGGGCUUAACCUGGGAACUGCAUUUGUGACUGCAUGGCUGGAGUGCGGCAGAGGGGGAUGGAAUUCCGCGUGUAGCAGUGAAAUGCGUAGAGAUGUGGAGGAACACCGAUGGCGAAGGCAGCCCCCUGGGCUGAGAUUGACGCUCAGGCACGAAAGCGUGGGGAGCAAACAGG